rnacentral:rRNA from 1 species
GACAGAGGGUGCAAACGUUGCUCGGAAUUACUGGGCGUAAAGCGCGUGUAGGCGGAUACGUGUGUCAGGUGUGAAAUCCCCGAGCUCAACUCGGGAACUGCGCCUGAAACUGCGUGUCUUGAGUGACGGAGAGGAAAGUGGAAUUCCUGGUGUAGAGGUGAAAUUCGUAGAUAUCAGGAGGAACACCAGUGGCGAAGGCGGCUUUCUGGACGUCUACUGACGCUGAGACGCGAAAGCGUGGGGAGCAAACAGG